CCAUGGUGACAGAGAAGACAACACAACACUGGGGCAGAUGAGAGCUGAGACGCAGAGCCCUUCUGAGAAGCAGCACAGGCUAGCUGGGAACCAGGAAUUUCCUUGACGAAACAGACCAGAGGGAAGCCUUGGGAUCUUGGGGCAGUGACGAGGAAAACCUCAGGGUUGGAGGAAGGAGGGGCCUAGAGGCUGCUAUUAAAAGAAUAAGGAAAAUGCUCUGUAGAGUUAGUAAAAGAUUAACACAGUUCCCCCCAAUGUCGUACGAUCCCAGAGCAUUGCCAAAUACCCUUGGCAUCUCGUGGGAUGAAGUAUGAAGAGAGGUGGGAAGUUGGGGGACAGGGGUCAGGAAAAUGAAGAUCCCACAUCUGAAAGGGGCGAAAGGGUUACUGUUUUGUGAAGUUGAACCCAAGCAUUGCAGGCCUGAAGGAAUGGGAAGAGCUAAGGGCCGGGGAGCCAGCCUGCAGCGGAGGGAAGUGUGCACUUACACUGAUUUAUUGCAGGAGCAAGGAAGGCUUGAAAUGUGCUUCUGGCCACAAGACAAGACAGAUGCCCCUCUGCCAUGUGCCACUAUGCCUUGGAGCCAGCCAAGAUUGAAACUUCUAUGAAUCAGACUCCUGCAGUAAGGCUCUAGUCCCCACCUGCAUGACACAAGGUUGAAGAAAAACUUAAGACAGAGUUAAAGAGAACGUCUGAACUGGGAUGCCCAAUGCUCCUUUGGUGCCUAGCUGAGGAGGCAGGAGCCUUCCAGGGACAAGACCACCUGAUGCGUAAGCAAAGCCUGUGGUGUGAUACGAGAGAACCAGGAUGGCUCCUAGCCUGCAGGCUGAUCACUUUGUUUUAGCUUCCAUCAUCAUUAGUUGGCUCUGUGGAGCUAACUGCCCUAUUCCUUUUGUGCCUUUGCUGAUGUGUACACAUUUCCAAAUAAAAGUCAUGUCUGGUGUAAGCAGAAGGACAUGUGGAUAUGGAAUGAGGGGGUCUGCAGCCACCCCCAGCCCAGUCACUAUCUCUGUAGAUAAGAGACCCCCAUUCCCCCUCCUCCUCCACAUCUUAGGAAAUAGAAAGGCUGGACUGGCCAUCUCCAAGGACACUUCCAGUUAUAAGAACCUGUGGACUUUGGUUUGGGUGGGCUCCCUGGACAGUCUUCCCUCUGGAAUAAGACAGUUAGCAUAAAAGCUCAUAUAAAAGGCUGGAGUCCCAAGAUCCCGUAGCUUGAGCUAGCUCUGGGCCAUGCCACGCCUCAGCCACCACUUCCAGCCCCUGGUUCCACAUUAGCCAAGCUUUGUUUUGAAAAGGUCCAGGGAGAAAUUUAUUGCUAUAAGCUGGAAGUUGAUUGGCCACAUUAAGAGCUCAACUUCCCCCUUCCUUUAGUCCCACUGACUACAAAAGGAGCUUUGUCUGCUGUAGGGUAGCCCUCCAGGAUGCGACCACAGACAGAAUUCAGCCUUUAAUAGGCUGCAGUGUCUGCUCAGAACACAUGAUUCCCUCUAGCACUGGGCACCCUGUACACUGAUACAGGCCAGGGAGCUAGAGCUGGGGCUGGCUACCUCUGAUGAGGCUAGAGUGAGCACUGGCUGAGGCCACCCUUCUCCCACCAUCCCAGAAUAAACAGAAGUUGCUAGACACAACCAAGUGAGCAAAGAGAUUGUCCUUUCUCUGGGGCUCCUUCUCGGAUUACAUUCUAAGGGGCCAUCCAGGGUCUCACCUGGUGAGGAGAAUCUGACAUGUGAAUAAGAUGGGUCAGAACCUUGUACUCAGAGCUUGCAACAUCUCCCUUUCUGCCUUCUCCCCACCUUCUUGCCUAGCCUACUGGCUGACAGCUCCACCCCACCCGAAGGCUAAACUGGGAGGCAGAGGAAAUUCUCAGGCACCUUGCAGUUCCUGGGAUCCUCUUCCAUCCUGGUUCCCAGGCCCUUCGGGGACUCCACCUGAACCAUCCUCAUCCACACACCCAGCCUUUCACUCUUCCUGCCCCCAGAUGCUCCUUCCUCUACUCUCAGAAGGUCCUCAUGAUCAAAAAGCAAUCUGUAAACCAAUCUAAGCUAGUUGUGAUUUCCCUGUGGCAAGGCUUCUGUCUUCUCCACAGCAGCUUCUCCCCCCAAGCUCUUCAGAGUGCCUGGUAUACCAGGCUCCUCUAAUACAUUUAUGCAAUCAUGAAAUGAAUGGGAAUAAACAUAAGUGAGUG
ensembl:lncRNA